rnacentral:lncRNA from 1 species
UUGUGUUAAUAUAUGUUUAGUUGCAUUUUAUGUGUAGUGCAUGUCUCACAAAGUCUAGCUUUAUGGAAAUUUUGUCUAGCCAAUGAUGAUAGCGAAUUUUGAAUGAUUUUUGAGUAUGUUGGAUAACAUGAACCUAGUUAUAAUGUUUUACACAAUGAAAUUCAUGUUGCUGUUUAAAUGCUUUCGGUUUGCACGGAUGUGUUCACAAUUGCUUGGAAGUAUAAGAAUGAUAUGUUGCAUUGCUUAAUAAAAAAUGUGGUUUUAAAAAGAGAAAUAUGUGGAACAUGGAUUUAGACUGUGCAAAAUAUUGAUAUUCAAACUUUGGGAAAACAUGGGUAUGCUAUGUAUAAAAAAAAAUCAAAUAGCAAUAAUGUGGCUAGUCUUAUUUUGGGGCCCUGGCUAUUUGAGUAAGUACGCC